GACGAACGCUGGCGGCGUGCCUAAUACAUGCAAGUCGAGCGGACUUAAAAAGCUUGCUUUUUAAGUUAGCGGCGGACGGGUGAGUAACACGUGGGCAACCUGCCUGUAAGACUGGGAUAACUUCGGGAAACCGGAGCUAAUACCGGAUAAUCCUUUCCUACUCAUGUAGGAAAGCUGAAAGACGGUUUACGCUGUCACUUACAGAUGGGCCCGCGGCGCAUUAGCUAGUUGGUGAGGUAACGGCUCACCAAGGCGACGGUGUGUAGCCGACCUGGGAGGGUGAUCGGCCACACUGGGACUGAGACACGGCCCAGACUCCUACGGGAGGCAGCAGUAGGGAAUCUUCCGCAAUGGACGAAAGUCUGACGGAGCAACGCCGCGUGAGUGAUGAAGGUUUUCGGAUCGUAAAACUCUGUUGUUAGGGAAGAACAAGUACGAGAGUAACUGCUCGUACCUUGACGGUACCUAACCAGAAAGCCACGGCUAACUACGUGCCAGCCGCCGCGGUAA
rnacentral:rRNA from 1 species